rnacentral:rRNA from 1 species
AUGACGAGCGGCGGACGGGUGAGUAAUGCUUGGGAAUAUGCCUUUACGUGGGGGACAACAGUUGGAAACGACUGCUAAUACCGCAUAAUGUCUUCGGACCAAAGGAGGGGACUCUUCGGAGCCUUUCGCGUAAAGAUUAGCCCAAGUGGGAUUAGCUAGUUGGUAAGGUAAUGGCUUACCAAGGCGACGAUCCCUAGCUGGUUUGAGAGGAUGAUCAGCCACACUGGGACUGAGACACGGCCCAGACUCCUACGGGAGGCAGCAGUGGGGAAUAUUGCACAAUGGGCGAAAGCCUGAUGCAGCCAUGCCGCGUGUGUGAAGAAGGCCUUCGGGUUGUAAAGCACUUUCAGUCGUGAGGAAGGGGUAUUAAUUAAUACUUGCUAUCUUUGACGUUAGCGACAGAAGAAGGACCGGCUAACUCCGUGCCAGCAGCCGCGGUAAUACGGAGGGUCUCGAGCGUUAAUCGGAAUUACUGGGCGUAAAGCGUACGCAGGCGGCUUGUUAAGCCAGAUGUUGAAAUCCCCGGGCUCAACCUGGGAAUGGCAUUUGGAACUGGCAAGCUAGA